rnacentral:rRNA from 1 species
UACGUAGGGUGCAAGCGUUUAAUCGGAAUUACUGGGCGUAAAGCGUGCGCAGGCGGCUUUGCAAGACAGAUGUGAAAUCCCCGGGCUUAACCUGGGAACUGCAUUUGUGACUGCAAGGCUAGAGUACGGUAGAGGGGGAUGGAAUUCCGCGUGUAGCAGUGAAAUGCGUAGAUAUGCGGAGGAACACCGAUGGCGAAGGCAAUCCCCUGGACCUGUACUGACGCUCAUGCACGAAAGCGUGGGGAGCAAACAGG